CAGCAGCCGCGGGAACACGUAGGGUGCAAGCGUUAAUCGGAAUUACUGGGCGUAAAGCGUGCGCAGGCGGUUAUAUAAGACAGAUGUGAAAUCCCCGGGCUCAACCUGGGAACUGCAUUUGUGACUGUAUAGCUAGAGUACGGCAGAGGGGGAUGGAAUUCCGCGUGUAGCAGUGAAAUGCGUAGAUAUGCGGAGGAACACCGAUGGCGAAGGCAAUCCCCUGGGCCUGUACUGACGCUCAUGCACGAAAGCGUGGGGAGCAAACAGGAUUAGAUACCCGCGUAGUCCCUGUCUCUUAUAC
rnacentral:rRNA from 1 species